rnacentral:lncRNA from 1 species
CAACUCAAAUCAACAUUAGGGGGCGCUGCAAAGCCUGGCCCGGUCUGGCUACACUGUGCAACAUGGCGGCUUUAGAGAGGUCCAAGCGUGCGCUGUCCUUGGUGAAAAUAUUAAGUUUCUUGCAGUGCGACGUUAAUUCGCGCUGUUUUGUGGAGGGAGAACGGGUUGUGGACGCCGAGCACCUCAUUUUAGUCGGUACCAGUGGUACAGUGAGUAGUGAGGUAGAAGUGGUCGCGCUGUGUUUGCAAACCUCCGGCGUGACAGCGGACCCGCACGAGAUUGUGAUGAGAAUCACCGACGCAUUCCGGGACCCAUAGAUCGUGGAGGCAAAGUGCUCGUGCACUGCUGGAUUGUCGCAAAAGUGCAAGCACAUCUCAGCUGUUUUGAUCCACUGUUACAGAUCAGGCCUUGGGUCCCUGCCGCCACUUAGCUGUACAGAUGUGGCGUGUGCAUGGGGCACAA